rnacentral:rRNA from 1 species
CAGCCAUGCCGCGUGAGUGAAGAAGGCCUUCGGGUUGUAAAGCUCUUUCGGCCGGGAAGAAAUCGUGCAGGCUAAUACCCUGUAUGGAUGACGGUACCAAAAGAGGAAGCCACGGCUAACUACGUGCCAGCAGCCGCGGUAAUACGUAGGUGGCGAGCGUUGUCCGGAAUUACUGGGCGUAAAGGGCGCGUAGGCGGCCUGUUAAGUCAGAUGUGAAACCCCCAGGCUCAACUUGGGGAUUGCAUAUGAAACUGAUGGGCUCGAGUGUCGGAGAGGAAAGCGGAAUUCCUAGUGUAGCGGUGAGAUGCGUAGAUAUUAGGAGGAACACCAGUGGCGAAGGCGGCUUUCUGGACGAUAACUGACGCUGAGGCGCGGAAGCGUGGGGAGCAAU